CGCUGGCGGCGUGCUUAACACAUGCAAGUCGAACGAUGAACCGGAGCUUGCUCCGGGGAUUAGUGGCGAACGGGUGAGUAACACGUGGGCAACCUGCCCCAGACAUCGGGAUAACCAUUCGAAAGGAUGGCUAAUACCGGAUAUGACCACUUCGGGCAUCCGAUGGUGGUGGAAAGGAUUCUGGUCUGGGAUGGGCCCGCGGCCUAUCAGCUAGUUGGUGGGGUAAUGGCCUACCAAGGCGACGACGGGUAGCCGGCCUGAGAGGGCGACCGGCCACACUGGGACUGAGACACGGCCCAGACUCCUACGGGAGGCAGCAGUGGGGAAUAUUGCGCAAUGGGCGAAAGCCUGACGCAGCGACGCCGCGUGAGGGACGAAGGUCUUCGGAUUGUAAACCUCUUUCAGCAGGGACGAAGCGAAAGUGACUGUACCUGCAGAAGAAGCACCGGCUAACUACGUG
rnacentral:rRNA from 1 species